GAUGAACGCUGACAGAAUGCUUAACACAUGCAAGUCAACUUGAACUUCGGUUUGGGUGGCGGACGGGUGAGUAACGCGUAAAGAACUUGCCUCACAGAUAGGGACAACAUUUGGAAACGAAUGCUAAUACCUGAUAUUAUGAUUAUAUGGCAUCGUAUAAUAAUGAAAGCUAUAUGCGCUGUGAGAGAGCUUUGCGUCCCAUUAGCUAGUUGGAGAGGUAACGGCUCAACAAGGCGAUGAUGGGUAGCCGGCCUGAGAGGGUGAUCGGCCACAAGGGGACUGAGACACGGCCCUUACUCCUACGGGAGGCAGCAGUGGGGAAUAUUGGACAAUGGACCAAGAGUCUGAUCCAGCAAUUCUGUGUGCACGAUGAAGUUUUUCGGAAUGUAAAGUGCUUUCAGUUGGGAAGAAAAAAAUGACGGUACCAACAGAAGAAGUGACGGCUAAAUACGUGCCAGCCGCCGCGGUAAGAC
rnacentral:rRNA from 1 species